UGGGCAUUCACUUAUCCUAAUUCCUCUCUCCCACCCAACUCCCUUUCUUUGAUAAAGGAGCUGAAGAUCAGAGGCCGCUGAUGGGCUGCGGUGUUAGAGGUGAAGGAAGCUCCUGAGCACUCUGUGUUGCCUGAUGGCUUUCCCACGCUCUGUCCCCUGGAACUUGGACCAGCCCCUCUGCUGGACAUGGCCCUGAGGGCACCGUCCCCCUGAGGUUUGUGUCAUUCGAUGGGGUUGUCUUUCAGAUGUAAAGAGUGCUCUCGGGAAUCACCUCAGUUUCAACGUGGGACUCAAAAGCCUUCAAAGCAAAGAGCCUUUUAGGAGCAGAUGCUGGUCCCUGGAGGAGACCAUGUCCUGGACUGGACUCUGAAGCUGACACAGGAGGAAAAUGGGCAGGGAACAACCUUUGGAAGACUGACACAGCCGCAGGACAUGACAUAAACGGAGAGAACCAACGGGG